rnacentral:pre_miRNA from 1 species
UAUAUAAGUCACAGGGCGGCAGCUACUGGUCAUUGUUGCGUUUGGUGGUUUGUGUG